rnacentral:rRNA from 1 species
UAUGUAGGGUGCGAGCGUUAAUCGGAAUUACUGGGCGUAAAGUGUGCGCAGGCGGCCGAGCAAGUCGAGUGUGAAAGCCCCGAGCUUAACUUGGGAAUUGCGCUCGAAACUACUUGGCUGGAGUGUGGCAGAGGAAGGUGGAAUUCCAGGUGUAGCGGUGAAAUGCGUAGAGAUCGGGAGGAACACCUGAGGUGAAGACGGGUUGCUGGGCCGACACUGACGCUGAUGCGCGAAAGCCAGGGGAGCAAACGGG